ensembl:lncRNA
GUGAACCUCUGGGGAAAAGCCAUUCCACAUCCGGGUUUCUGACGUUCCAGCAAGUAACUGGUGAACGCUGCCAAUUUGCUGCGAAACCACAGCGAUGGCCUGCCGCCCUGGUUUCUGCACGGGGACGUAGCUAAGAUGAACAGUGGUCCAUUCUGGGGGUUUGUUUAGCUCUGCAACUAGAAGCGAAAGACUAUUUAUCAAGAAUCUGAAGAGAUGGAGCUCCCGUGACUCCCUGGGCGUGGAGACUGUGUGGGCGCUUCAGGGAGAAAAGGAAGAUAAUUGGCAGCUCUGGCCUCCAGCCUUUUUUUGGAACCACGGCAAGGAUCAAACGACUGGAGGUGUUUUUUCAUAAGGCAAAGUGGUCCAUCGCAAGAGAUCUCAUAGUUUCUCAUAUGCAAGAGCCUUUCUAAACCGUAAGAGACACUCUUCCAUUCUCAGGUGUUCAGAAAACGGGCUGCAUUCCAGUAUCUUCCUGGUUGAUCGACAAGCGCAGAUUAUGUGAAAUCUAGAGUUUAUGCAAGACAUAUUCAUUUCAGCCUUAUUCAGAGAUAGACUUUGUGUUUGUGGCCUUUCGUUCAUCUUUCAUUCACCAAAUACUUAUGAAGCCCCUACUGUGUGCCAGGCUCUGUUCUAGGGGCGGGGAGACUGCCAGAGAUCAGAGAAGGUCCCAACUCUCAUGGUGCUAUUUUAGUGGGAGGACAGCUAGUGACAUUGGUGGAAAGUCACAAGAUGAUACUGAUGAUGUUUCAAGAAGAUGAACUGUUGACUAACAGAGCAAGAAGAAAGAUAAGAGGAGAAGACAGCGAGGAGGAAGACUGAGCAGAGACGACAGGAUCCAAGACCACGCAUGCUGCCCAUGGGACAGAUGUGGAUUCAGCAGAGCCACGGAGUUUCCAGAAGGCCGCUGCGUAACUGCCAACCAAGCAAGGAAUGAAAGGUGGGAAGAGCACCACAACUUCGAGAUCCUUCCUCCGAGUGAACUACUCUAUUCCCAUUGGUUUAAAGACUCUGAGCGAGGCAGUCCCACUGUUGUGAGGACAAGGCUUAAAAACCGCCCUGUACCGAGCAGGUUUUAUGGAAGUGGGGUCAGAGUGAUGAAUGACGACGGGUGCGUCCAUCUCCAGACGCGGCACUUACUGCAAGUCCGUUAAAGAGUCUGCUGCAAGGCCACAGCCCCUAGAACAGAUGCACAAUUCCUGCUCCCAGAGGCCCCGUGUGCAGGGAGAAAGAGGCAGAGGGAGAGGGGUCCCUUCUGGCUCCCCCCAUGGCCAGGUGAGCUCACCCCAACUCUAGCGAAUAGAGACACCGGUUUCAUUCAGUGUAGGUAUGGACUUGUGAAGGGUCAGAGCAGGCCAAAGAUGGACCGGGCUAUCUCUGGAGGGAGUGAGGAGUGUGUCCAAACACAGACCGGAUGACCACUGGGUAGAGAUAACGGAGGGAGGAGUCGCACAUCAGAGAGAUGUUAGACCAGAUGACCUUUACAGUUCCCUUCAAAUUGAGAAUCUACUUAAACUCAGGGAAACUGGGUUUGAUCCCUGGGGGAACACAUGGACUUGUAAGCAUUUGAACUUAUCAUUUUGUUGUGGUUUCUCAUCUGGGAGUACUAGUAUUCCUUGCUUAAUUUAGACGUGACAAGUCAACAGUGUUAAAUAUGGUCAAACUUUACAUAAUUUAUUCUUCCCUUGAAGUGGAGCCAAGACAACCUCAGGGCCUUUGCACUUACUGUUCUCCACUCCUUUCAUUCAGAUUGUGCUCAAAUGUGGCCUUAUCAAAGAGGUCAUCCCUGAUCUCCUCCCCUAUAAAAUGUCACCCCCCCUUGACCUUCUUGUUGUCACUUUCUACACUUUCCCCUCCCUCCACAUGACACAUUAUAUAUUCAUUUGUUCAUUUUUGGGCUCUCCUUGAUGAAAAAUAAACACCAUGGAACAAAGCUUUGUCUGUUUGGUUCAACGUAUUUCAGAUCCUACAACAGCACCUGGCACAUAGGAAGCACUCAAUAAAUGUUUGUUGAAUGAAUAA